GAUGAACGCUAGCGGCAGGCUUAAUACAUGCAAGUCGUGGGGCAGCGCAGUGUAGCAAUACAUGGGCGGCGACCGGCAAACGGGUGCGGAACACGUACGCAACCUUCCCAAAACUGGUGAAUAGCCCUCCGAAAGGAGGAUUAAUACACCGUAACUUAAUGAAGAGGCAUCUCUUUAUUAAUAUAGCUCCGGCGGUUUUG
rnacentral:rRNA from 1 species